AACGAACGCUGGCGGCAUGCCUAACACAUGCAAGUCGCACGAGACCUUCGGGUCUAGUGGCGCACGGGUGCGUAAGGCGUAGGAACCUGCCUUUAGUUUCGGAAUAAACCAGAGCACUUUGACCUUAUUCAUGAUGCUUUCUUCGGGCCAAAGAUUUAUCGCCGUUAGAUGGUCCCGCGUUGGAUUAGCUAGUUGGUGGGGUAAAGGCCUACCAAGGCGCCGAUACAUAGCUGGUCUGCGAGGAUGAUCAGCGACACUGGGACUGAGACACGGCCCAGACUCCUACGGGAGGCAGCAGUGGGGAAUAUUGGACAAUGGGCGAAAGCCUGAUCCAGCAAUGCCGCGUGAGUGAUGAAGGCCUUAGGGUUGUAAAGCGCUUUUACCCGAGAUGAUAAUGACAGUACCGGGAGAAUAAGCUCCGGCUAACUCCGUG
rnacentral:rRNA from 1 species